GAUUUUGUACACACCGCCCGUCACACCAUGGGAGUGGGUUUUGCCAGAAGUAGUUAGCCUAACCGCAAGGAGGGCGAUUACCACGGCAGGGUUCAUGACUGGGGUGAAGUCGUAACAAGGUAGCCGUAUCGGAAGGUGCGGCUGGAUCACUUCCUUUC
rnacentral:rRNA from 1 species